rnacentral:lncRNA from 1 species
UAUGGGUAUUAAAUACUGGUACUAACUACAGGUACUAAGUACUGGUACUAACUACGGGUACUAAGUACUGGUACUAACUAUGGGUACUAAGUACUGGUACUAACUAUGGGUACUAAGUACUGGUACUAACUACGGGUACUAAGUACUGGUACUAACUACAGGUACUAAGUACUGUUACUAACUACUGGUACUAGUAUUGACAGUAGUCCAGGGAAUUCUAGCAUCUUAUCUCUUACUUAUACAGUAUCUUAUAUCUAAUCUCCCAGGCACUGUGAUCGCAGGUGUGUGUUUCCAGGUGCGUGUGUUUCCAGGUGCUUGUAUUUCCAAGUGCAUGUGUUUCCAAUAUGUGUUUCCACGUGUGUGUCUCCGGGUGCAUGUGUUUUCAGGUGCGUGUGUUUCCAGGUGCGUGUGUUUUCAGGUGCGUGUGUUUCCAGGUGCGUGUGUUUCCAGGUGCGUGCUUUUCAAGGUGUGUGUGUUUCCAGGUGUGUGUGUUUCCAGGUGUGUGUGUUUCCAGGUGUGUGUGUUUCCAGGUGUGUGUGUUUCCCGGGUGUGUGUUUCCAGGUGCGUGUUUCCAUGUGUGUGUGUUUCCAUGUGUGUGUGUUUCCAGGUGUGUGUGUUUCCAGGUGUGUGUGUUUCCAGGUGUGUGUGUUUCCAGGUGUGUGUGUUUCCCGGGUGUGUGUUUCCAGGUGCGUGUUUCCAUGUGUGUGUGUUUCCAGGUGUGUGUGUUUCCAUGUGGGUAUGUUGGCACCCUUGGGAGGCAUACGGGCAAAGCUCAGUCACCUGGCAUCCAGACUACAUUGGUAGACACCACGGUGCGAAGCCCCAACUGGUCCGAUUGCCAAAGUUGACAAGACUUCCUAUCAUCAGGUGCUGCUUUCCUCUACUAACAUGACACCUCACCCUAUUCGCUGCAUUACCCAUGAGGCCCUGUUAUCCUCUAUCCCGCCCCUCCUAGCCUACCCAGCCCGACCUGCCAUCCCAUCAUGUUAUGCCAUCGCGGUCACCACCGGCGAUGAUUCGCACCCCAGUCGGUGGGGGCUCUCGGUGUUUCAGAGGUGUUGGCACCACACUGCUACCAGACAAGGUGUUGUAACCACACUGCUACCAGACAAGGUGUUGUCACCCCACUGCUACCAGACAAGGUGUUGUCACCACACUGCUACCAGACAAGGUGUUGUAACCACACUGCUACCAGACAAGGUGUUGUCACCACACUGCUACCAGACAAGGUGUUGUUACCACACUGCUACCAGACAAGGUGUUGUCACCACACUG